CGAGGUGGAAGCGUAGCGAUACGUGGAGCUGACGAAUACUAAUCGAUCGAAGACUUAAUCAAUUU
rnacentral:rRNA from 2 species